GACGAACGCUGGCGGCGUGCCUAAUACAUGCAAGUAGAACGCUGAAGGAGGAGCUUGCUUCUCUGGAUGAGUUGCGAACGGGUGAGUAACGCGUAGGUAACCUGCCUGGUAGCGGGGGAUAACUAUUGGAAACGAUAGCUAAUACCGCAUAAGAGUAGAUGUCGCAUGACAUUUGCUUAAAAGGUGCAAUUGCAUCACUACCAGAUGGACCUGCGUUGUAUUAGCUAGUUGGUGAGGUAACGGCUCACCAAGGCAACGAUACAUAGCCGACCUGAGAGGGUGAUCGGCCACACUGGGACUGAGACACGGCCCAGACUCCUACGGGAGGCAGCAGUAGGGAAUCUUCGGCAAUGGACGGAAGUCUGACCGAGCAACGCCGCGUGAGUGCAGAAGGUUUUCGGAUCGUAAAGCUCUGUUGUAAGAGAAGAACGAGUGUGAGAGUGGAAAGUUCACACUGUGACGGUAUCUUACCAGAAAGGGACGGCUAACUACGUG
rnacentral:rRNA from 1 species